AAAAAGAUAAGCUAAAAUUAAGCUUUUGGGUUCAUACCCCAAAUAUAAAGUAAUCCUUUUCUUUUUA
rnacentral:tRNA from 1 species